rnacentral:rRNA from 1 species
GGUUACUUAAGCAGGAUGUGAAAUCCCCGGGCUCAACCUGGGAACUGCGUUCUGAACUGGGUGACUAGAGUGUGUCAGAGGGAGGUAGAAUUCCACGUGUAGCAGUGAAAUGCGUAGAGAUGUGGAGGAAUACCGAUGGCGAAGGCAGCCUCCUGGGAUAACACUGACGUUCAUGCCCGAAAGCGUGGGUAGCAAACAGGAUUAGAUACCCUGGUAGUCCACGCCCUAAACGAUGUCGAUUAGCUGUUGGGCAGCUUGACUGCUUAGUAGCGAAGCUAACGCGUGAAAUCGACCGCCUGGGGAGUACGGUCGCAAGAUUAAAACUCAAAGGAAUUGACGGGGACCCGCACAAGCGGUGGAUGAUGUGGAUUAAUUCGAUGCAACGCGAAGAACCUUACCUGGUCUUGACAUGUACGGAACCCUCCAGAGACGGAGGGGUGCCUUCGGGAGCCGUAAUACAGGUGCUGCAUGGCUGUCGUCAGCUCGUGUCGUGAG